UACGAAGGGGGCUAGCGUUGCUCGGAAUUACUGGGCGUAAAGGGCGCGUAGGCGGAUAGUUUAGUCAGAGGUGAAAGCCCAGGGCUCAACCUUGGAAUUGCCUUUGAUACUGGCUGUCUUGAGUAUGGGAGAGGUUAGCGGAACUCCGAGUGUAGAGGUGAAAUUCGUAGAUAUUCGGAAGAACACCAGUGGCGAAGGCGGCUAACUGGCCCAUUACUGACGCUGAGGCUCGAAAGCGUGGGGAGCAAACAGG
rnacentral:rRNA from 1 species